rnacentral:tRNA from 2 species
GGGCUUGUAGCUCAGUGGAUAGAGCGACGGCCUCCUAAGCCGUAGGUCGGGCGUUCGAGUCGCCCCAAGCUCGCCA